rnacentral:lncRNA from 1 species
AGUCCCCUUUCGAUAAGGGAAACGAGCGAGUUUGGCUACAAAAUAGCCUUAACAUGCUAGUUCUUCCUUCUAAUCCAGGGGAAAAUUAAAGUCAUAAAGUUAGGAGUCCUUCCCGUGCCCGACCUGAUGCAUUCCCUUAGGGUCAUACACUUGCAUUCUUUUUAUAUCACCUCCUCAUUCUUUUAGCCACAUUUUCUCACUAAUUAGAUUUUUCUCAAUCCAUUUUCUCACCACCUUUUUCCUAUCCCUCAU